rnacentral:rRNA from 1 species
UACGUAGGGGGCAAGCGUUGUCCGGAAUCAUUGGGCGUAAAGAGCGUGUAGGCGGCCCGGUAAGUCCGCUGUGAAAGUCCAGGGCUCAACCCUGGGAUGCCGGUGGAUACUGUCGGGCUCGAGUCCGGAAGAGGAGUGUGGAAUUCCUGGUGUAGCGGUGAAAUGCGUAGAUAUCGGAAGGAACAUCAGUGGCGAAAGCGACUUCCUGGACCAGUACCGACGUUCAGGCACGAAAGCGUGGGGAGCAAACAGG